CAGAGAAUAGUUAAACUAAGAAUGCUAGCUUUGGGAGUUAGUGGCGGCGGUUAAAAUCCGCCUUCUUUGA
rnacentral:tRNA from 1 species